rnacentral:rRNA from 1 species
CCGCCGCCCACCGAGAUCUAAACUCUUUCCCUACACGACGCUCUUCCGAUCUCGACGCCGCGUGUAUGAAGACGCCUUUCGGGGUGUAAAGUACUUUUAUUAGGGAUGAAACAAUGACCGUACCUAAUGAAUAAGGGGCUGCUAACCUCGUGCCAGCAGCAGCGGUAAUACGAGUGCCCCAAGCAUUAUCCGGAUUUAUUGGGCGUAAAGCGUCCGUAGACGGUUUGUCGCAUCUCCUGUUAAAUCCUCUGGCUCAACCAGGGGGCUGCGGGAGAGAUGGAUAAACUAGAGACUGGAAGAGGCAAUCGGAAUUGCUGGUGUAGGGGUUAAAUCCGUUAAUAUCAGCAGGAACACUCAAUGCGAAGGCAAAUUGCUGGGACAGUUCUGACGUUCAGGGACGAAAGCGUGGGGAGCGAAUGGGAUUAGAUACCCCAGUAGUCCACGCCGUAAACGAUGGAUGCUAAAUAUUGGAAGUAUCGACCCUUCCAGUGUUGUUAAUUUAAGGUAACCCGUUAAGCAUCCCGCCUGGGGAGUACGAUCGCAAGAUUAAAACUCAAAGGAAUAGACGGGGACCCGCACAAGCGGUGGAGCAUGUGGUUUAAUUCGAAGAUACGCGAAGAACCUUACCUGGACUUGACAUUGAAAGAAUCCUGUAGAGAUACGGGAGUGCUAGCUUGCUAGAGCUUGAAAACAGGUGCUGCACGGCUGUCGUCAGCUCGUGUCGUGAGAUGUUGGGUUAAGUCCCGCAACGAGCGCAACCCUCGUCCCUAGUUACCAGCGGGUCAUGCCGGGAACUCUAGGGAGACUGCCGGUGUCAAACCGGAGGAAGGUGGGGACGACGUCAAGUCAUCAUGGCCCUUACGUCCAGGGCUACACACGUGCUACAAUGGGGUAUACAAAGAGCAGCAAUACGGUGACGUGGAGCAAAUCUCAUAAAAUGCCUCCCAGUUCGGAUUGUAGUCUGCAACUCGACUACAUGAAGUUGGAAUCGCUAGUAAUCGUAGAUCAGCAUUGCUACGGUGAAUACGUUCCCGGGUCUUGUACUCACCGCCCGUCACACCAUGGGAGUUGAUUUCACCCGAAGCGGGGAAGCUAAACUGGCUACCCUCCACGGUGGAAUCAGCGACUGGGGUGAAGUCGUAACAAGGUAACCGUAGGAGAACCUGCGGUUG